UAGUCCACGCCGUAAACGAUGAUUACUAACUGUAUGCGAUAUAUUGUAUGUGGUACAGCGAAAGCGUUAAGUAAUCCACCUGGGGAGUACGUUGGCAACAAUGAAACUCAAAGGAAUUGACGGGGGCCCGCACAAGCGGAGGAACAUGUGGUUUAAUUCGAUGAUACGCGAGGAACCUUACCCGGGCUUAAAAUGCAGUGGAAUAAAGUAGAAAUAUUUUAGUCAGCAAUGACCGCUGUGUAGGUGCUGCAUGGUUGUCGUCAGCUCGUGCCGUGAGGUGUCGGCUUAAGUGCCAUAACGAGCGCAACCCUUAUCGAUAGUUACUAGCAGGUUAAGCUGAGGACUCUAUUGAGACUGCCACCGUAAGGUGCGAGGAAGGUGGGGAUGACGUCAAAUCAGCACGGCCCUUACGUCCGGGGCGACACACGUGUUACAAUGGGGGGUACAGAGGGUUGCUACCACGCAAGUGGAUGCUAAUCUCAUAAAGCCUCUCUCAGUUCGG
rnacentral:rRNA from 1 species